UACGUAGGUGGCGAGCGUUGUCCGGAUUUAUUGGGCGUAAAGCGCGCGCAGGUGGUGCGGUAAGUCUGCCGUGAAAUCUCCCGGCUCAACUGGGAGGGGGCGGUGGAGACUGCCGGACUAGAGGGACUCAGAGGCCGGUGGAAUUCCCGGUGUAGUGGUGAAAUGCGUAGAUAUUGGGAAGAACACCGGUGGCGAAGGCGGCGACCUGGUCCUUGACUGACGCUGAGGCGCGAAAGCGUGGGGAGCAAACAGG
rnacentral:rRNA from 1 species